rnacentral:lncRNA from 1 species
ACUUAUGUCUUCAUAUUUAAAGUGCAUUUUUUUUGUAGGCAGCAGGUAGUUGGAUCUGACUUUUUGUCCAAACUGACAAUCUCUGGCAGACUCAAUUGUCAGAUUGCAUGUUCAACCACUUACACAUAAUGCGCUCAUUGAUAUGGUUUGCUAAACAAAGCUGCUCUCAGUGGAUUUCCAAGAUGAAUACCACAGCUGCAUCCAUCCCAAACACAGGGGCCUUGAAUGCCUGUGGCGGGGCACACCUGCAGAGCUGGGCCUGGCCUGGACCAUGUGGCAGCUCAGCAGUUCACAGUCCUGCUGGGCCCUCCCAGCCGCCCCACCCCAGGAGGCCACAGAGGGUCCCCGGUGCUGAGAGCCGCUGGGCGCCUCUCAGGGAGAAUCCGCCAACAAUCUCUGCCCUGUCAAGGGUGCAGGGCUUGGCCCCCUCUGCCCAGGGACUGUCCAACUGCUGGGGUGAGGCUGGGGCUGCAGCGGGCAAGUGGGCCUGUGGGGACUGUGGUUCUGGGAGUCUCAGGCCUUAGUCUCACUGGAGCCCAGUUCUGGUAUUUUCAAGCUUUUCUCCAGCCAGAAAUAAUGCUAAUAUCCUACAACUGCAGCUUUUUCAGGGCACUACCACAAUUGAGACUUUCUCUUCAAGUAACAAUGAGAAUUUGUUCUGAGCCUUUGCGAUAAGAAAGGAGAGAGAAGAUCAUUCCUAGAGGCAGGAGGAGCAGAAAAUCAUCUCAACAAAAAGCACAGACUUCUCAUGAUAUAUUAUUAUGCUUUCAAAUAAGUAUUUCCACAAACCCAUUCUUUAGUUUAAAAUAAAGUGGCUCUGAAGUCUUAGAUUAUCUUGGCCAUGUCUUGUUUUAGGAGGAAAAAUCUGAUCUGGGGAAGCUGGUGGAUGAGCAACUUUGUCGUGGGGCCCAGCCUGGCAAGCUGCUCCCUUGAUGCAUCACGAUGCUGAGUUUCGCCAUAGGCUGUCUUCUGUGGGGAGUGUGAGAAGGGAAUCCCUUAUAAGGAGCGAUCCCUACUGAUUUAGUAAGUUAC